rnacentral:miRNA from 1 species
CUGGCCACCUUCCUCUUGGUCCCAUAUUGAUCUCGAGUUGGAAGAGGUGAGUCCUGUCUCAAA